GAGUAAUGAGGACAUAAUCUUAACAUUUCUUAAAUCUCUCACAUGCUUCGUAGAGCGAUUCCUCAUCAUUUUGAUUAAAAUUGGUAAUUUAAUUUAUUAGUUG